rnacentral:tRNA from 1 species
GUUAAAAUAAUUUAUAUAAAAUAUUGGUUUUGUAAACCAAAAUUGGAUACUCCUUUUAAUA